rnacentral:rRNA from 1 species
AUGCAAGUCGUACGAGAAUUCUUUAGCUUGCUAAAGAUAGUAAAGUGGCGCACGGGUGAGUAACGCGUGGGUAAUCUACCUCCGAAUCGGGGAUAACCCGCCGAAAGGCGAGCUAAUACCGGAUAAUAUCUUUAAAACUUCGGUUUUAAAGAUCAAAGGUGGUCUCUACAUGUAAGCUACUGUUUGGAGAUGAGCCCGCGUACCAUUAGCUUGUUGGUAGGGUAAUGGCCUACCAAGGCUUCGAUGGUUAGCUGGUCUGAGAGGAUGAUCAGCCACACUGGAACUGACACACGGUCCAGACUCCUACGGGAGGCAGCAGUGAGGAAUUUUGCGCAAUGGGGGAAACCCUGACGCAGCAACGCCGCGUGAGUGAUGAAGGCUUUCGGGUCGUAAAGCUCUGUCAAGUGGGAAGAACAUACUUGAUGCUAAUAACAUCUUGUACUGACGGUACCACUGAAGGAAGCACCGGCUAACUCCGUGCCAGCAGCCGCGGUAAUACGGGGGGUGCAAGCGUUAUUCGGAAUUAUUGGGCGUAAAGGGCGCGUAGGCGGUCUCUUAAGUCAGAUGUGAAAGCCCGGGGCUCAACCCCGGAAGUGCAUUUGAAACUAAGGGACUUGAGUAUGGGAGAGGGAAGUGGAAUUCCUGGUGUAGAGGUGAAAUUCGUAGAUAUCAGGAGGAACACCGGUGGCGAAGGCGACUUCCUGGACCAAUACUGACGCUAAGGCGCGAAGGCGUGGGGAGCAACAGGAUAGAUACCCUGGUAGUCACGCAGUAACGUGA